rnacentral:lncRNA from 1 species
CGCGAGAGUCAGCCGACCAAGGACUCGGUACCGCGAGCCGCCUUUUCUUUCUUUUUUUCCCCUCAGUGUGUGUAGCUUUAAUUGGUGAGUUCGGCUGGAAGGCGGGGCCUCACGGGGAAAAGAAACUGGAGGCUGAGCAGACACUCUCUGCGUAGGAUCAUCAUGCCGAGCAUAAACUGGACUUUCCCACUUGCCUGGCAGGAGUGAGACAGAUCACUGUGUGCUAAAUGAGCAUCUGAGGAUGGAAUGCUCUGAAUAUAUCUGUGAAGUCUAUCUGUGAAGUCCAUCUUGUCCAGUGUGUCAUUCAAAGCCCUGCUUUCCUUGUUGAUCUUCUGCUUAGAUGAUGUGUCCAUCACAGAUGUUGUUCAACCUAGAAGAAAAUGCUUCUGCGCAGUGGCUAGUCUGCUUCCCUUCAUUAUCUUCCUACCAUGCAAAAAGAAAAAAAUUUUUUUUCUUAAGAUUCUUUGACCAAACUUUGCUCAUGAUGAUGGAAUCUUAAGUAACUGUUGCUUCGCCACAGGACUAUCCCUCCAUUGGAGUUUGCCGGAUGUUUUUCUCAUGAUUAAA